CCAGUCGGCUGGACGGCCGCUGCCGAAACGCAGAGGAAAGUCCGGGCUCCACGGAGACACGGCGCCGGAUAAGGUCCGGCGGGGGCGACCCCAGGGAUAGCGCCACAGAAAGCAAACCGCCGCGCAAGCGGUAAGGGUGAAAGGGUGCGGUAAGAGCGCACCGCCCGGACGGCGACGUUCGGGGCACGGCAAGCCCCGCCGGGAGCAAGACCGAAUAGGGGCGACGGAAGGCCUUAAGCGCGAGCUUUUUGCCUUCAACCCGUCUCCGGGACUGUCGCCCGGGUUGGUUGCUAGAGGCGGGCGGCAACGUCCGUCCCAGAGGAAUGGUCGUCACGUUCUGCAAAGAACGUACAGAACCCGGCUUACAGGCCGACUGGCGUU
rnacentral:RNase_P_RNA from 1 species